GAUGAACGCUGGCGGCGUGCCUAAUACAUGCAAGUCGAGCGAACAGACGAGGAGCUUGCUCCUCUGACGUUAGCGGCGGACGGGUGAGUAACACGUGGAUAACCUACCUAUAAGACUGGGAUAACUUCGGGAAACCGGAGCUAAUACCGGAUAAUAUAUUGAACCGCAUGGUUCAAUAGUGAAAGACGGUUUUACUGUCACUUAUAGAUGGAUCCGCGCCGCAUUAGCUAGUUGGUAAGGUAACGGCUUACCAAGGCAACGAUGCGUAGCCGACCUGAGAGGGUGAUCGGCCGCACUGGAACUGAGACACGGUCCAGACUCCUACGGGAGGCAGCAGUAGGGAAUCGUCCGCAAUGGGCGAAAGCCUGACGGAGCAACGCCGCGUGAGUGAUGAAGGUCUUCGGAUCGUAAAACUCUGUUAUUAGGGAAGAACAAAUGUGUAAGUAACUAUGCACGUCUUGACGGUACCUAAUCAGAAAGCCACGGCUAACUACGUG
rnacentral:rRNA from 1 species